rnacentral:rRNA from 1 species
GCGAAUGCUGACAUAAGUAACGAUAAAGCGGGUGAAAAGCCCGCUCGCCGGAAGACCAAGGGUUCCUGUCCAACGUUAAUCGGGGCAGGGUGAGUCGACCCCUAAGGCGAGGCCGAAAGGCGUAGUCGAUGGGAAACGGGUUAAUAUUCCCGUACUUGGUGUUACUGCGAAGGGGGGACGGAGAAGGCUAUGUUGGCCGGGCGACGGUUGUCCCGGUUUAAGCGUGUAGGUGUGUGUUCCAGGUAAAUCCGGUUCACUUUAACACUGAGGCGUGACGACGAGGCACUACGGUGCUGAAGCAACAAAUGCCCUGCUUCCAGGAAAAGCCUCUAAGCAUCAGGUAACAUCAAAUCGUACCCCAAACCGACACAGGUGGUCAGGUAGAGAAUACCAAGGCGCUUGAGAGAACUCGGGUGAAGGAACUAGGCAAAAUGGUGCCGUAACUUCGGGAGAAGGCACGCUGACACGUAGGUGAAGUGAUUUACUCAUGGAGCUGAAGUCAGUCGAAGAUACCAGCUGGCUGCAACUGUUUAUUAAAAACACAGCACUGUGCAAACACGAAAGUGGACGUAUACGGUGUGACGCCUGCCCGGUGCCGGAAGGUUAAUUGAUGGGGUCAGCGCAAGCGAAGCUCCUGAUCGAAGCCCCGGUAAACGGCGGCCGUAACUAUAACGGUCCUAAGGUAGCGAAAUUCCUUGUCGGGUAAGUUCCGACCUGCACGAAUGGCGUAAUGAUGGCCAGGCUGUCUCCACCCGAGACUCAGUGAAAUUGAACUCGCUGUGAAGAUGCAGUGUACCCGCGGCAAGACGGAAAGACCCCGUGAACCUUUACUAUAGCUUGACACUGAACAUUGAGCCUUGAUGUGUAGGAUAGGUGGGAGGCUUUGAAGUGUGGACGCCAGUCUGCAUGGAGCCGACCUUGAAAUACCACCCUUUAAUGUUUGAUGUUCUAACGUGGACCCGUUACCCGGGUUGCGGACAGUGUCUGGUGGGUAGUUUGACUGGGGCGGUCUCCUCCUAAAGAGUAACGGAGGAGCACGAAGGUUGGCUAAUCCUGGUCGGACAUCAGGAGGUUAGUGCAAUGGCAUAAGCCAGCUUGACUGCGAGCGUGACGGCGCGAGCAGGUGCGAAAGCAGGUCAUAGUGAUCCGGUGGUUCUGAAUGGAAGGGCCAUCGCUCAACGGAUAAAAGGUACUCCGGGGAUAACAGGCUGAUACCGCCCAAGAGUUCAUAUCGACGGCGGUGUUUGGCACCUCGAUGUCGGCUCAUCACAUCCUGGGGCUGAAGUAGGUCCCAAGGGUAUGGCUGUUCGCCAUUUAAAGUGGUACGCGAGCUGGGUUUAGAACGUCGUGAGACAGUUCGGUCCCUAUCUGCCGUGGGCGCUGGAGAACUGAGGGGGGCUGCUCCUAGUACGAGAGGACCGGAGUGGACGCAUCACUGGUGUUCGGGUUGUCAUGCCAAUGGCACUGCCCGGUAGCUAAAUGCGGAAGAGAUAAGUGCUGAAAGCAUCUAAGCACGAAACUUGCCCCGA